rnacentral:rRNA from 1 species
UGAGGAAUAUUGGUCAAUGGGCGAGAGCCUGAACCAGCCAAGUAGCGUGCAGGAAGACGGCCCUAUGGGUUGUAAACUGCUUUUAUGUGGGGAUAAAGUGCGUGACGUGUCAUGCAUUGCAGGUACCAUACGAAUAAGGACCGGCUAAUUCCGUGCCAGCAGCCGCGGUAAUACGGAAGGUCCAGUCGUUAUCCGGAUUUAUUGGGUUUAAAGGGAGCGUAGGCUGUUUGUUAAGCGUGUUGUGAAAUGUAAGAGCUCAACUUUUAGAUUGCAGCGCGAACUGGCAGACUUGAGUGCGCACAACGUAGGCGGAAUUCAUGGUGUAGCGGUGAAAUGCUUAGAUAUCAUGACGAACUCCGAUUGCGAAGGCAGCUUACGGGAGCGCAACUGACGCUAAAGCUCGAAGGUGCGGGUAUCGAACAGG